UGGAUGACAAUGGUGACUUAGGUCCAUCCUU
rnacentral:piRNA from 1 species